rnacentral:rRNA from 1 species
GAUGAACGCUGGCGGCGUGCCUAAUACAUGCAAGUAGAACGCUGAAGCUUGGUGCUUGCACCGAGCGGAUGAGUUGCGAACGGGUGAGUAACGCGUAGGUAACCUGCCUCUUAGCGGGGGAUAACUAUUGGAAACGAUAGCUAAUACCGCAUAAAAGUCGACAUCGCAUGAUGUUGACUUGAAAGGUGCAAAUGCAUCACUAAGAGAUGGACCUGCGUUGUAUUAGCUAGUUGGUGAGGUAACGGCUCACCAAGGCGACGAUACAUAGCCGACCUGAGAGGGUGAUCGGCCACACUGGGACUGAGACACGGCCCAGACUCCUACGGGAGGCAGCAGUAGGGAAUCUUCGGCAAUGGGGGCAACCCUGACCGAGCAACGCCGCGUGAGUGAAGAAGGUUUUCGGAUCGUAAAGCUCUGUUGUAAGAGAAGAACGAGUGUGAGAGUGGAAAGUUCACACUGUGACGGUAACUUACCAGAAAGGGACGGCUAACUACGUGCCAGCAGCCGCGGUAAUACGUAGGUCCCGAGCGUUAUCCGGAUUUAUUGGGCGUAAAGCGAGCGCAGGCGGUUAGAUAAGUCUGAAGUUAAAGGCUGUGGCUUAACCAUAGUACGCUUUGGAAACUGUUUAACUUGAGUGCAGAAGGGGAGAGUGGAAUUCCAUGUGUAGCGGUGAAAUGCGUAGAUAUAUGGAGGAACACCGGUGGCGAAAGCGGCUCUCUGGCCUGUAACUGACGCUGAGGCUCGAAAGCGUGGGGAGCAAACAGG